UCGACACAAUUUCAAACUCCUCCAAAUUUAUUUAACCGAACAAACAUUUUCUCUAAAUUCUCCAUAGUGGCCACUCGAACGGGAAUUGAAAAUAUAAAUCCAAAUGCACUUUUUCCUAGAGAAAACGCUGCAACGUUUCAACCAAUUUACGACUGGAAUUAGUGGAGUUUUUCAAAACAAUAUCAGUCCACCACUGCCUCUUAAACAAAUAAUGGGGUCACCCGAAUAAGGGUCUUGGAGCGCCAGAUAGAGUUUACAACCUUAUGAAGAAGGACCAACCAAUUCAUAUUCUGCACAAACCAACAACUAUACAACAGACACUCUUCUAAUCAUUAUUUAUCCAUAUCACUUGCGGAAAAGUCAACAAUAACUUCAUCCACAACACCUGUAACUUGCCCGGUUUUUACAUCUACAGUAAAUUUGGAUUUUGAAAGUGAUGGUGAUGAUGAUUCGGACUACGACCGGUUCUUAGCACAAGAAUCUGAAGAUGAUUCAAGUUUGAAAAAUGACGACAACUCCCCACCAUUUUCAAGAAGAGACGAGUCUGAAUGUAACACUCUAGGCUAUUACGAUUUGGAUGAUGCAAUGAUUGACUGUAGACAUUGCAAGGAAUUAAUGUGGCAUUAAGAGAGAAUGGACAAAUAUAAACAUAAACAUGACAAAGGUUACUCACUCUACUGCAGAUCAUGUCAACAAAAUUAUCAGAAGCUUACCCAAGAGAUGGAGGUCUAUGGUAACUGCAGUGAAACUAUCUAAGGAUCUGAACAACACAACUCUUGAAGAACUUAUGAGUUCCUUGAGAAGUCAUGAGAUAGAGCUUGAAGAGGAUGAGCCCCAAAGAAAAGUUAAAUUCGUGGCUCUGAAAUCCAUGGGAAAGUCUGAAAAUACUAAAACCUUUCAAGCUGAAGAAGAAGAGGAUUCUGAAGAAGACUCUGAAGAAGAAGAUCAAUUGCUUCUUCUUUCUAGAAGAGUUAAUCUACUCUGGAAGAAAAGACAAAGCAAGUUUAGAGACUCCAGAAAGACAGGUGGUUGCUUUGGUCUACAUCUGGACUGAAGAAGUCAAGUGUUGGCAAAGACGUUAUCUACUUUGAGUGCAAGGAGUCAGGUCACUACAAGAAUGAGUGUCUCAAGCUGAGGAAAUACAAACCAAAAAAGAAAGACUUCAGAUGGAAGAAGAAAUGUAUGAUAGCUACCUGAGAUGACUCUGAAUCCUCAAAAGAUGGCUCUGAGGAAUAGCAAGCUAAUGUGGCGUUGAUGGCAAGCACAAAAGCAUCUGAUGAAAAGAUCCAACCAGAAUCUGAAUCUGAAUCUGAGUUAAAUUCUGAAGAGCUAUUUCCUAACUUAUUUUGCUCUGAAUUAGAAUCUUGUCUUUCUGAAAUUCUGGAGAAAUAUUAUGAGCUUCAUAACAAAUACAAGGAUUUGUAACAAGUCCAAGUAUCUGAAUCUGAAGCUCAUAGUAAGCUUAAAAAAGAUUUUUCUACUUUGAACGAAAAGAAUUUUAUUCUGAAAAAUGAAAAUUUUGCUCUUCAAAGUAAAAGUUCUAAACUUGAGGAAGAAAUGUUUUCAGAAGCUUCUGUGGAUUCUAAGAAUGUCAUAAACAAAUAUGACAAAUCUUUUCAGACAUUUUUGCCUAGAAACAUAGAUAGAAGGAAAAUGGAAGAUGAGGAAUUUGUUAUGUGCCUAAAGAAAAACCUAUUUGAAAAUCUAAGGCAAAACCAAAAGCUCUGAUUUCCCAUUUCUCUUAUGCGUAUACACAAAAUGAUUAUUCUGCACAAUGACCCAAGUUCUCUAAGAACUCUGGGAGAAUUAACCAAAAACGACUCAAAAUAUGUGGGUACCUAAGGACAAGAUAAUAUAUGUUGCAGACAUCCUUAGCAGCUCAAUUGAAACACCAAUCAUGAUACGCAGAUUCUAGGUGCUCACGACACAUGACAUGAAGAAGGCAUAUGUUCCAAGAUUUGAAACUUAAGUCAGGUGGCUUUGUAGGUUUUGGAGGUGAUUAGAAAGGGAAGAUCAUAGGCUCCGGAACUAUUGGUAACGGCUUUCUCCCUUCGUAGAUUUUAGGAACAAAAACAACAUCGGUCCCAUCAUCGUACAUAAACUAUCAAAUAUGUUGUACACAUAUAACACACAUGCCAAGAGUUUCCUCAUGA